GAGUUUGAUCCUGGCUCAGAACGAACGCUGGCGGCGUGGCUAAGACAUGCAAGUCGAACGGACCGGCCCAAUGAGUAAUCAGAAGGCCGGUUAGUGGCGAAAGGGUGCGGAAUGGAUAGCUAACGUACCCCGUGCUUCGGGAUAGCGUCAGGAGCUUCGGCUCCUUUCCGAAAGGGGCGGUAAUACCGGAUAAUGUCAUAGACCGACAGGACUAUGACCAAAGAUUCAUCGGCGCGGGAGCGGCCUAUCUCCUAUCAGCUUGUUGGUGAGGUAAUGGCUCACCAAGGCGAUGACGGGUAGCGGAACUGAGAGGUUGUUCCGCCUCAUCGGGACUGAGACACUGCCCGGACCUCCACGGAGGGCUGCAGUAACGAAUAUUGCGCAAUGGGCGAAAGCCUGACGCAGCGACGCCGCGUGUAGGAGGAAGUCCCUCGGGAUGUAAACUACUGUCAGGGGGAAGAAAGUCCGCCUCGGCGGAUUGAUCUAACCCAGAGGAAGUCACGGCUAACUUCGUGCCAGCAGCCGCGGUAAGACGAAGGUGGCAAGCGUUGUUCGGUAUUACUGGGCUUAAAGCGUGUGUAGGCGGAAUGGUAAGCGUCUUGUGAAAUCCCUCGGCUUAACCGAGGAAUUGCUUGGCGUACUGCCCUUCUUGAGGCAGGUAAGGGUGCACGGAACUCUUGGUGGAGCGGUGGAAUGCGUAGAUAUCAAGAGGAACGCCGGUGGAGAAGUCGGUGCACUGGGCCUGUUAUGGGUCCCCAAUUCCGAUUCGUCGGAAUCGGGCUCCCCCUGACGCUGAGACACGAAAGCGUGGGGAGCGAACGGGAUUAGAUACCCCGGUAGUCCACGCCGUAAACGAUGUCUACUAGGUUGCGGAGGUUCUGACGCCGUCGCGACCGAAGCAAAAGUGUUAAGUAGACCGCCUGGGGAGUACGGCCGCAAGGCUAAAACUCAAAGGAAUUGACGGGGGCUCACACAAGCGGUGGAGCAUGUGGAUUAAUUCGAAGCAACGCGUAGAACCUUACCUGGGUUUGACAUGCUUGGAUGCCAAUCUGGAAACAGAGGAAGCUGCCUUCGGGUGAAACUUGCACAGGUGCCGCAUGGCUGUCGUCAGCUCGUGUCGUGAGAUGUCGGGUUAAGUCCUUUAACGAGCGA
rnacentral:rRNA from 1 species